UCAGGAGAUAGCGGUCUUUAAUCUUCCGGUUGCAGCCAGCACAACCCUUCGGCUUGGUGUCUGGCUGAGCUGAGAGCAUUUGUAUACCUGCAGGAGGAAGGGAAGGGAAGGGGAGGGGAGGGGGAAUGAGGAGAACAGGACCAAACACAGAACAACGCCACUUACUACCAGUUUAAUUACAGUUUCCAUGGCAGCAAAGCGCUGAUGCUUGGCAAAGGCCAAUGAGAUCUGCGACAGCCAUCCCAAUUUCUGAUGCAGCCAGCAUACAAAACAACAAAAAAAAAGGAGAGAAAAGCCCACUCUCACCGCUAACAUGCUCAAUUUAAUAUCUUUCCACCCCUCCUCUACUCCGCGAGAGAAAUGAUCUGAAUAAUGCAAAGAGAACCGUUUACAGAUGACAACACUUUUGUCAGAAAAGAGGAAAUCCUUCAGAAAGCACUGAAAUAAAAUCAUGGAAGUCGCA